GCAGCCUACGGGGCGCAGCAGUAGGGAAUUUUCGUCAAUGGGCGCAAGCCUGAACGAGCAAUGCCGCGUGAACGAGGAAGGUCUUCGGAUCGUAAAGCUCUGUUGAAGGGGAAAAAGAGCGGAGAGAGGAAAUGGUCUCCGAUUGAUAUUACCCUUCGAGGAAGUCACGGCUAACUACGUGCCAGCAGCCGCGGUAAUACGUAGGUCCCGAGCGUUGUCCGGAUUUAUUGGGCGUAAAGCGAGCGCAGGUGGUUUAUUAAGUCUGGUGUAAAAGGCAGUGGCUCAACCAUUGUAUGCAUUGGAAA
rnacentral:rRNA from 1 species